AAAAAACUCAAGUUUCAACCUAUGAUUAUUUGCUCCAUUUUAUACUUCCGUAUCCUUACCAUGGUAGCGUCGAACACGGUUGGGUUUGAUCCUCUUUGCUCAAACAGUGGGUCGUCUCGCGGAAAGAGAAUGCUAGCUGCUGCUGCUGCGACGAGGUACAUCACGAGUCCUGGCGAGGUAUUUCGUAAAGGAGAUGCAAUGAUCUCUCUAAACGCCAUUUCCUCAGCACAGCGUAAUUUAGUUGCAAGCCGUCUCCGCUAUGGCAUUGGCGAGCGAUACUACUUCGGGAAUCAGGCUGUAAACAGAAAAUCUGCGUAUCCCUGGACUGUCAAGAGAACCCGCAAUUUGUUCGGACAUCUCUAUGGGUUUCUGCCGGAUUGUUCUCGCUCCUCGUCCUCCUCCUGCUCUUCUGGAGGGACCAAGGUGCCUCACCGAGAACCGAGUUGGAUGCCUAACGGGUACGCUUUCUUCUCAACGUCAUCAAUAAAUGAUGCGGCAAAGCAGGUUGGCAGCCGAAAUCAGACUACCGCAACUGCAAAAGGUGAACAGCAAGUUGCUGACAUGAAGAUUCUCCGCACCCUCACCAAGUACUUGUGGUUGAAAGAUAACCUAGAAUUCCGUCUCAGGGUCAUCAUGGCCUUGGGCUUUUUGAUUGGGGCCAAGGUUCUAAACGUUCAGGUGCCUUUCCUGUUCAAGCUUGCCGUGGAUUGGUUAUCUACAGCGACUGGGAAUGCUACUGCUCUUGCUUCCUUUACAACAGCCAAUUCAACAGUUUUGGCUCUUUUCGUCAGUCCUGCAGCAGUUUUAGUUGGAUAUGGAAUAGCACGGACUGGGGCUUCUGCCUUUAAUGAAUUGCGAACUGCCGUGUUUUCUAAGGUAGCAUUGCGGACAAUUCGAUCAGUGUCUAGGAAGGUAUUUUCACAUUUGCAUGAUCUUGACCUUCGGUACCAUCUUAGUCGAGAAACAGGUGCCUUAAAUCGAACAAUUGAUCGUGGUAGCCGUGCAAUAAAUUUUAUUCUUUCAUCAAUGGUAUUCAAUGUUUUUCCAACCAUCUUAGAGAUAUCUAUGGUAUCAGGUAUACUGGCAUACAAAUUUGGGGCCCCUUUUGCAUGGAUUACUUCUUUGUCAGUUGCUGCAUAUAUUAUUUUCACAUUGACUGUGACACAGUGGAGGACCAAGUUUCGGAAGGCCAUGAAUAAAGCUGAUAAUGAUGCAAGCACAAGGGCAAUUGAUUCACUUAUCAAUUAUGAGACUGUGAAAUAUUUCAACAAUGAAGCUUAUGAAGCUGAGAAAUAUGAUGAUUUCUUAAAAAGAUAUGAAGAUGCUGCCUUAAAAACGCAACGUAGUCUUGCCUCCUUGAACUUUGGCCAAAAUGUAAUAUUUAGCACAGCUUUGUCGAUUGCUAUGGUUUUGUGUUCACACGGGAUUAUGGAUGGCAAGAUGACAGUGGGUGAUUUGGUAAUGGUAAAUGGGCUUUUAUUCCAGCUCUCACUUCCACUCAACUUCCUUGGCAGUGUGUAUCGUGAGACGGUGCAGAGCCUUGUUGACAUGAAAGCUAUGUUUCAAUUGCUUGAGGAGAAGGCUGAAAUUAAAGACAAACAUGGUGUGAAGCCUUUGCAGUUGAAUAGGGGGAAUAUUCAAUUUGAAAAUGUACACUUCAGUUAUCUAAAAGAGAGAAAAAUUCUUGACGGGAUAUCUUUUGAUGUACCUGCUGGAAAAAGUGUGGCUAUUGUUGGGACAAGUGGCAGUGGAAAAUCUACUAUUCUUAGGUUGCUUUUCAGAUUUUUUGAGGUGCAUUCGGGGAAUAUAACGAUAGAUGGUCAAGACAUACGGGACGUAACACUUGAGAGUCUUCGGGAGUCCAUUGGUGUUGUUCCACAAGAUACUGUACUUUUCAAUGACACAAUAUUUCACAAUAUUCAUUAUGGUCGUCUUUCAGCAACUAAAGAAGAGGUGUAUGAUGCUGCUCGACAUGCAGCAAUUCAUGACACUAUCAUGAAGUUCCCAGAGAAAUAUUUUACUGUUGUCGGGGAGCGAGGACUGAAGUUAAGUGGUGGUGAGAAGCAGCGAGUGGCACUAGCUCGUGCAUUCCUGAAGGCACCUGCCAUUUUGCUUUGCGAUGAAGCUACCAGUGCACUUGAUAGUACAACAGAAGCUGAGAUACUUGGUGCAUUGAAGUCCCUUGCAAGAAAUAGAACCUCAAUCUUUAUUGCGCAUAGGCUUACAACUGCUAUGCAAUGUGAUAAGGUUAUAGUGCUCGAGAAUGGAAAGGUGGUUGAGCAAGGAUCCCAUGAAGUUCUCUUGUUUAAAGCAGGACGAUAUGCACAGCUCUGGGGCCAGCAAAAUAACACUGAUGGAGUUGAUGUGGCUGUUAAACUGGAUGCAUGAAUGUCCUUCUGAGACACCUGAAAUUCCAGUUUUCUGAUGAUGCCUGUUCUGGCCAUCAAAGUUGAGGUCUUACAGAUGUUUCGAAUGGCAGCAGUUGAUGCUUCCAUGCAGUGAGCACCAGAUGUUGGAGCUGUGAACUUUUGGGUGGUCAGUUAAAAUCAGAAUAUUGAGUUUUGAGGGUCUAUUUUAAUUAUUGAAAAUAUUGCAAGAAAAUAAUGUUUUACAGUAUUUGUAUAAAAUAAAUUAUCAACGAUAGCAGUUUUGAUAUUAUUUGCUUGUUAAAAUAAUUUAAUUUUUCAUUUCUAAUUUUUCAAUGAUCAUAAAAAUGCCAUCUUGUUUUU